rnacentral:ncRNA from 2 species
AAAGAAUAGAAAGAGAUAGGUGCCCGCAAGGGCUUAAUAGGGAAGUCCGGUUAAAAGCCGGCGCGGUCCCGCCACUGUAUUGGUGAGCAACCUCAAGAUAUGCCACUGGGAUGAAUUUCCUGGGAAGGUUUGAGUGCGCGAUGAUCCAGAGCCAGGAGAACUGCCUAUUUGACAAUCACCGU